AGGAACAAGAACACCCCUCGGGGUGCAGGGAUGCUCAGAGUGGCACUGGUGUGUCCGCCUCAGGUGGGAACAAGGUGUCACACGGGAAUUUCCACCCUGUAGUAGGGUGGCGGUGACCCGUGCUGAGAGGGGAGAUGGAGAGCCAGUGGGAGUGGAUGAGGACACCUGAGGGCCGAGGCAUGGACAUGCCUGCAGGUCUCUCUCUUUUGAAGGGCCGCUGGCUGAUCCAGAAGGAAGUGACUUGUGCACGUGCUGCCGCUGGUUAGUGACGGAGGCAGGACCAGGCCAGCUUCCCCACUGUCCUGCCAGCCGUGGGCCAAGCACAGUCGUCUGCCACUGCAGGAGGGUCAGCUGUGUGUCGGCUGCAUUUCCUGCCUCCAAGCCCACUCAAAAGGAGAACAGCUGGCCUGAAUCCUGAGUAACCAGGGGCAGAUGGCAGUGUGGCAGCCUGCCAGCCAUGCACAUCUCAGACUCAGCCAGACGUUGGUUGAAGUGUGGAGAACAGACUUCCAUCAGCAAUAACUCGGGCGGAGGGGAGAGCCCAGCGUGAACCGAACUCCACUCGGUUGUGCAGAUGAGACUUGUUGUAAGGGGAGAAGGAAGAGUGGAGAGGGGAGAGCUGGGGUCGAUGGUGUCACAGAGGUCGAAAGUCACAAAAAGUGGGAAGGGUACCCCAAAACGCAUUUGCCGUAAUAGUUGCUGAAAAGCAGCCUGAAGGGAGGAUGUGCUGAAGCCCUGAAUGCUGCUCGAGCCUCCGCUUCCUGGGAGAAAGGACUCAAGUCAACGCUCUUGCGGCGUUGGGAGUCCCCUUUGUCCUCUGCACAGUUACUCACAGAAACACACCCCAAGGAAUAGGAACUUUGGACAUUUUAUAAUUUUGGUCUAGUUUCUUGAACAGCUCAGGAAAAACGAGUGACAUUCCUCCUGUUUUGGAUUUUCUCUGAUCUUAGAGCUCAAACUAAUCCCUGCUGGGUUGACAAGCAGUUGCAUCAGCUUCGCCCCUUAGGACAGCGGCAGGACCUUCCGAGUGCCCAAACCAGAGGCGCCGACGUUCACACACACUUCCUCCACCCUCUGGCUUAAAGCUGUGGAUGAGUCAUGUUUUAUGUUAAGCAUGUGACUAAAGUAUGUUAUUAAAAGUUAAAUUAAAAAAAAGAAGCAGG
rnacentral:lncRNA from 1 species